rnacentral:rRNA from 1 species
AUGGCGGCCGGGAAGCGCACCAUCGGCCUCGCGAUGGACUACUCGCCGUCCAGCAAGGCGGCGACGAGGUGGGUGGUCGAGAACCUGGUGAAGGCCGGCGACCGCAUCAUCCUCAUCCACGUCCUACCCAAGGGAGCAGACGCCAGCCACAAGGGCCUCUGGAAGAGCACCGGUUCACCUCUGAUCCCUCUGCUGGAGUUCAUGGAGAUGAACGUGCAGGCGCGGUACGGGGUCAACCCGGACAAGGAGGUGCUGGAGAUCCUGCAGGCUGAGUCCAAGUCCAAGCAGGUGGAAAUACUGGCAAAAAUAUACUGGGGUGAUGCAAGGGAGAAACUUUGUGAGGCAGUAGAUGAUCUCAAGGUCGACUCUGUUGUGCUUGGUUGCAGGGGAUUAGGGCCCUUAAAAAGGGCACUCCUUGGAAGCGUCAGCAACUAUGUUGUCAACAAUGCAACCUGCCCCGUCACAGUGGUGCGCGGACCAAAUGGAUCACUUGCUUGA